GAGGCCCCUGAAGAGCCGUUCAAGACCAGGACGUUGAUAGGCCGGGUGUGUAAGCGCUGCGAGGCGUUGAGCUAACCGGUACUAAUUGCUCGUGCGGCUUGACUAU
rnacentral:rRNA from 1 species